rnacentral:rRNA from 1 species
AUUGAACGCUGGCGGCAGGCCUAACACAUGCAAGUCGAACGAGUGGCGGACGGGUGAGUAAUGUCUGGGAAACUGCCUGAUGGAGGGGGAUAACUACUGGAAACGGUAGCUAAUAACGCAUACCAUCGGAUGUACCACGAGGGGUUUAGCUGGUAGGUGGGGUAAAGGCUCACAGAGGCGACGAUCCCUAGCUGGUCUGAGAGGAUGACCGGCCACACUGGCACGGGGACACGGUCCAGACUCCUACGGGAGGCAGCAGUGGGGAAUCUUGCACAAUGGGCGCAAGCCUGAUGCAGCCAUGCCGCGUUUAUGAAGAAGGCCUACGGGUUGAAAAGUACUUUCAGCGGGGAGGCGUUACCCGCAGAAGAAGCACCGGCUAACUCCGUGCCAGCAGCCGCGGUAAUAC